AUUUAUCCUGCAAUAAAAUACAGUCUAUUGAAAGACAUACAUUUGAACCCCUACCAUUUUUGCAGUUUAUAAAUCUUGGUUGCAAUUUACUAACAGAACUGAGCUUUGGAACAUCUCAGGCCUGGCACAGAAUGCAGUUUUUACACAAGUUAAUUCUCAAUCACAAUCCUCUGACAGCUGUUGAAGAUCCGUAGCUCUUGGAACUGCCGGCAUUAAUAUAUCUAUACAUGGGAACAACACAAGUCCCACUUACAACAAUUAAGAACAUUCUCAGGAUGACUGUUGAAUUGGAAAAACUGAUCUUACCUAGCCAUAUGGCCUGCUGCCUCUGCCAAUUUAAAAAUAGCAUUGAGGCUGUCUGCAAGACAGUC
rnacentral:lncRNA from 1 species